CCGGGCCGGCACGGGUGGAGUAACACGUAUCCAACCUGCCGUCUACUCUUGGCCAGCCUCUGAAGGAAGAUUAAUCCAGGAUGGGAUCAUGAGUUCACAUGUCCGCAUGAUUAAAGGUAUUUUCCGGUAGACGAUGGGGAUGCGUUCCAUUAGAUAGUAGGCGGGGUAACGGCCCACCUAGUCAACGAUGGAUAGGGGUUCUGAGAGGAAGGUCCCCCACAUUGGAACUGAGACACGGUCCAA
rnacentral:rRNA from 1 species